UGUUGUUAACUAAAGCCGAACAACAUCGGUUAUUUUCAUUACAAAUAUAGGUUGUUUACUUUCCUUCUGGUUAUCGUUUGGUUAAGCGCAUCAUUACUGACGUUAGUUUUUCUAUGAAGACUCAGACAGAGUUACCCAGUUAGGUCACCAACAGCUAUCGUUUAAGUAAAGGAGAUCUCCAAGACAAUGGCGACACUUCGCUUAUUUGCAAUUUUACACCUCUGUUUAAUGCCAGUCGCCAUAUCAGCUGUCGAGUAUGUUACAGUGGACAUAGAAGAAGGCACAUUGAGGGGUCAGAUGUCCGAAACGUUAACAGGCAAACCCAUGUUCAUGUUUCAAGGCAUUCCGUUUGCGGAGGCACCAGUUGAUGAUCUCCGCUUCCAGCCUCCGGUGAAAAGGGCGCCUUGGACUGGUGUGAGAGACGCCCUGAAGACGCAACGCACUUGCGUACAGCUACACAGCAGCGGGAAAUCGACUGGUGGAGAGAACUGCCUGUACCUCGAUCUUUAUGGCCCAGGGACGCCAUCGAGAAACGGAACACUGAAAAGCGUUAUGGUUUUCAUCCACGGAGGAUGUUUCACAUCAGGAACUGGUUCUUCUGCGAGACCGUACUACUAUGUGGACCAGGAUGUCAUACUCGUCAACAUAAAUUAUCGACUGGGAAUUCUGGGUUUCCUAAGCACCGGAGAUGAUCUGGUCCCUGGGAACAUGGGUCUUAAAGACCAGACAGAGGCACUUCGUUGGGUGCAGAGGAAUAUAGAGGCUUUUGGUGGUGACCCACAAAAAGUAACCAUUUUCGGACAAAGCGCUGGAGGUGCAUCCGUUCAUUACCACGUUCUGUCUCCAUUGAGCAAAGGUCUGUUCAAGAACGCCAUAGCGAUGAGUGGAGCAGCAUCAAACACUUGGGCGUUCAAAAAAAGUGCUCCAGACAGAGCGGUGCGGUUUGCCAAAUACCUGGGCUAUACUGGCGAAAAUUCCGCUGAUCUCUUAAAUUUCCUCAAAACCGCAAAGGCGAGUGCAUUAGUGACGAACAUCACUGCCGCUCUGUCGGAAGAGGAAAGCCUAAGUUUGUUCGACUGCAUCUGGACACCCACUGCCGAACCUGAAAACGACGGUGCGUUUCUGACGGAAGAGCCGUGGACCCUUGUCGCUGAAGGCCGCUACAACCUGGUUCCUUUUAUGGCUGGUGACACUAAUAUGGAGCGACUUAAACAAACACAGAGUCGUGGUGCGUUAUAUACUGAAGAACAAGUAAGCAACUUCAACGAAAACUUCGACGAGAUUGUGGGGAUUGACAUACGACUUCCUACAAGGGAAGAACAGCUGAAGGCAGCUGCGUCCAUUAAAGAGUUCUACUACAACGGCAGCGACAUCACAGUGCAGGACAACUACACCACAUGCCUGUUGGAAACACACCGCCAUUUUGUGGAAGGAGUGGACGCUGCCGUCAGAAGCAUGGCUCGCUAUUCCUCGAACCCUGUCUACUACUACCAGUUCUCGUUCGUUGGUACUCGCAGUACUUUUCCUCGUGGUCCAGGUGCAGCUCACAACGAUGAUGUGAAAUACAUGCAUGCAACAGAUCUGGAUCCUGAUUCGGAUGAAGGUGUAAUCCAAGCUCAGAUGACAACAAUGUGGACUAACUUCGCUAAAUAUGACAAUCCGACGCCAGAACAGACCUCCAUACUGACAGAGACGUGGAAGGAGUACGAUGAAUCUUUACCUUACUAUCUGGAGAUAAAUGGACCUCUUAGCCUCAAAACUAACUUGUACGAACCCUACAUGACCUUUUGGCACAAGCUGUUGCCUUAAAUACCUCCUAUGUGCCACUAAUGACCACAUUUAACGAUUUGGUACGAGAUGGAAGUUGCUUAAAUGAAAAUUCCAAGAGCAGCAGUUUCAGUACACUGUUAUGUAUGAUAACGGAUAGGUGAACUGAUUUGCUAUAUUGAUAUUGUAGUCCUCAGAGACAUAGAUGUUGUACAAAACUGCUAAUAUUUUUAAGUGUUGUAGCUUACCCUUUCUUAACAAGCAUUAUUAAAGAGAUAAUGAUCAUACUGUGAGCCUCUUUUUUUUAAUUGUACCGUGUAUUGUGC